GCCUCGCGUCAUGAUCGUCGUGAUGCAACGAGUUCAGCCACCAAUAAGAGCCGGGCAUUGGAUUUUAGAGGAAUUACAAAAACGCAGAACUUCUCCAGCCAAUCAUCCAAAGGCACAAAAGAAAACACGGCGACGUGACUGUGUUUGACGUGCAAUUUGGAGGAACAUGCAAAUAGGUGGAUGAGCUGUGUGUGUGUGUAUCCUGGUGCCCUGUGAUGGAUCAGGAGCCAGUCCUGGGAAUACUGGCCAUGAGGUGGGAUAGCAACCUGCAUGAUACCACAGCUUCUGCUCGGAUCUUGGCAUGCCUAGUGGACAUAUCUUCGUUGAUGAGUGCUCAUCAACUAGAAUUUAACCACAGCAAAACCCAACUGCUGGUCAUCCCAGGCAAUUUAUCUCCAGGCUGCUAAGGUGCUUGUUCAGUCUCUUGUCAUUUCAAGACUGGACUACUGCAAC